GGAGGGGUGGCAGAGCGGCUUAAUGCGGCGGUCUUGAAAACCGUUGACCUGCGAAGGUCCGGGGGUUCGAAUCCCUCCCCCUCCGCGA
rnacentral:tRNA from 1 species